rnacentral:rRNA from 1 species
GACGUAGGGUGCGAGCGUUGUCCGGAUUUAUUGGGCGUAAAGAGCUCGUAGGCGGCUCGUCGCGUCGACCGUGAAAACCCGCGGCUUAACUGCGGGCUUGCGGUUGAUACGGGCGGGCUAGAGUUCGGUAGGGGAGACUGGAAUUCCUGGUGUAGCGGUGAAAUGCGCAGAUAUCAGGAGGAACACCGGUGGCGAAGGCGGGUCUCUGGGUUGAUACUGACGCUGAGGUGCGAAAGCGUGGGGAGCAAACAGG